rnacentral:lncRNA from 1 species
GCUUCACCGAUGCCGGAUCCAGCGCCAGUAACGACUGCGGUUUUACCAAGCCAACGAUCCAUAAUUGCCUGUCUGCAAGAAAGUAAACAAAGCUUAUAAAAAAAACGGGAAGUUUUAAACAACAAAAUUGCAACAACAGCGAAAAAUACGAACGUUGGAAACGAGAACGUUGCAGAACGAAGAAGAUCAGAAGAAGGAAGUGUCUAAAAAAAACUGAGAAAAAAGAAAUAAGAGGAAAGAAUAAUGGAUAUGAAGAUGCAUUAGUUGCAAUAGAACAAAAAAAUAUUUUGAUUGCAAACUUGUCAAAAAAAAGUGCUUGAAUUUAGACGAGAAGUCAUAUGACAAAUAAGAAAUAUUGGUUUUAUAUACAAGAAGUUCAAAGAAUUUUUAAUACUACAAAUAGAAAACGCGAAAAUUUUAACUACUUUAGGAUGAGAGAAAGGGGGAGUACAAAAAAUAUCAUGAAAUUCAACGAUAAUACUUGAGAGCCUAUAAAUAUUUGAAACAGAUCUUAUAUAUAUCGAAAACUAAAGAUAAGAUAACCGGAUCAUAUGUGCCCUAUUCGCUAUUUAUAAAUACUAUAGUAAAGUUAAUAGAUAGCUUAAUAAGGAUAGUGCAGGCUAUUCGUUGACUAUUAAUGAAUUAAAAGUUUUGCUAAUCUUUUUUUCAAGACUUUCAGAGCAACCACAUUCAUUCCGUUUUACAGAAGAGCAUGUGUAAAGAGUAUGUUUCACCCAAGUCGAACCAUUCCGGACCCAAGUCCAACAUCGGUAACGAUUGCGGUUUUACCAAGCCAACGAUCUAUAAUUGUCUGUCUCCUCGUCCAAUAUUACUCGCAACCGCUACGAUGAGGAGACGGAAUUCAUCCUGUACCGCGGGGAUCAGCGUCGCAGUGGAUUAAACUAUGCACGGCCAUGUCGGGAAUGCGUUGAUAACAUUAUGCGCAUCUUUUUCCCUCAUGAAUGUCACCGAGAUGCAGACGGAUGGAACGAGUGGAUUUAUAACGGAGGCGAAAGAUUCCCGUGCUCACCUCGACAAGACCACAAUUCGCAACUACGAAUUAAACAAGAAAUGCGACAAUAGUAGCAACGGCAAUGUUAAGGAAAAAGCGUAGAUUCUAAGGGAUGUCAGAGUGUGAGAUAACGUGCAUGGUUUAGGUCGUACUAAACGGGUAUACUAAACGGGUCGCCGAACAAGAAUACGCGCUCCAGCUACUGCAGCUGCGACAUUCUAACUGCUACAUGUAUAUGCCAUAUUAUAUAUAUUAACUCGUGCAGAAAAAAACAUUCUUAAUGAAAAGACAAUUAAGAGGAGACAUAGG